GACGAACGCUGGCGGCGUGCUUAACACAUGCAAGUCGAGCGGUAAGGCCUUUCGGGGUACACGAGCGGCGAACGGGUGAGUAACACGUGGGUGAUCUGCCCUGCACUUCGGGAUAAGCCUGGGAAACUGGGUCUAAUACCGGAUAUGACCUCCUAUCGCAUGGUGGGUGGUGGAAAGAUUUAUCGGUGCAGGAUGGGCCCGCGGCCUAUCAGCUUGUUGGUGGGGUAAUGGCCUACCAAGGCGACGACGGGUAGCCGACCUGAGAGGGUGACCGGCCACACUGGGACUGAGACACGGCCCAGACUCCUACGGGAGGCAGCAGUGGGGAAUAUUGCACAAUGGGCGAAAGCCUGAUGCAGCGACGCCGCGUGAGGGAUGACAGCCUUCGGGUUGUAAACCUCUUUCAGCAGGGACGAAGCGCAAGUGACGGUACCUGCAGAAGAAGCACCGGCUAACUACGUG
rnacentral:rRNA from 1 species